AUGGCGCCCGGCGGCACGAUGCCCCCGUCCGCGCCCCACCUCAUGUUCCGCCGCCCGGACCUCGCCGCGCCUGCGCCUCACGCCGUCAUGCCGCCUCCUGCCGCCGCUGGUAUGGACAAGGAAGGGGAGGAGCGCCGGCUGAAGCUGUCCGACCUGGAGUGGCUGGCCGACCUAGGCGAGUGCGCGAGCGGGGUGGUGACCAAGGUGCGCCUCCGCGGCACCGCCGGCCCUGCGUUCGUGCUCAAGGUCGCUCACUACCCCGACGACAUCGACGCGGGGAGGGAGCAGGACGAGGUGCUCCGCCGCGCGUGCGGGGCCGGGCCACCGUUGCCGUACGUGGUGCGCUGCCACGCCGUUCUACGCGGUGACGGCGGCGAGCCCGCGUGCCUGCUCGAGCUCAUGGACGCCGGGUCGCUCUAUGACGUCCUCCACCGCCGCGGCGGCCGCGGCGGCCUCCCGGAGCCCGCGCUGCGCCCUCGGGCUCGCGCACCUCCACGCGCGCGCCGUCGCGCACCUCGACCUCAAGCCCGACAACCUGCUCGCCAGCGCUCGCGGGGACGUCAAGAUCGCCGACUUUGGCGUCUCAAGGAUCUUCUUCGUCGGGUCUCCAUCACCGUUGGCACCACCGCGUACAUGAGCCCUGAGCGGUUCGCACCCAACGCCCACGCCAGACAGCGUGGGGCCUGCGCCGCCGACGUCUGGAGCCUCGGCGCCACGGUCCUGGAGCUCUACUUGGGCCACCGCCCUGUCCUGCCCGCCGAACGAGCGCCGUCUUGGAAGAUGUUCAAGGAGGCCAUCUGCUACGGCGAACAACCGGCGGUGCCGGAGAGCACGGCAGCAUCGGCGGAGCUGCGCGGGUUCAUGGCCGCGUGCGUGCAGAAGGAUCGUCGGAGGCGCGCCACAGUGCCGCAGCACCCGUUCGUGGCGCGCCGGGACGUCGAGGCGUUGCGCUGCGCCCUACGAGAGAUUAUCGUGGAGACCAUAUAA
rnacentral:rRNA from 1 species